UACGUAGGUGGCAAGCGUUGUCCGGAUUUACUGGGCGUAAAGAGCGCGCAGGCGGUCGGAUAAGUCGAAUGUGAAAGCCCCUGGCUCAACCAGGGAGGGUCAUUCGAUACUGUUCGACUCGAAGGCAGGAGAGGGAAGCGGAAUUCCGGGUGUAGUGGUGAAAUGCGUAGAUAUCCGGAGGAACACCAGUGGCGAAGGCGGCUUUCUGGCCUGUUCUUGACGCUGAGGCGCGAAAGCCAGGGGAGCAAACGGG
rnacentral:rRNA from 1 species